UACGGGGGGGGCAAGCGUUGUUCGGAAUUACUGGGCGUAAAGGGCUCGUAGGCGGCCAACUAAGUCACACGUGGAAUCCCUCGGCUCAACCGGGGAACUGCGUGUGAGACUGGAUGGCUUGAGUUUGGGAGAGGAAUGCGGAAUUCCAGGUGUAGCGGUGAAAUGCGUAGAUAUCUGGAGGAACACCGGUGGCGAAGGCGGCAUUCUGGACCAAUACUGACGCUGAGGAGCGAAAGCCAGGGGAGCAAACGGG
rnacentral:rRNA from 1 species